rnacentral:rRNA from 1 species
AUUUCAACAGCGGAGAGUUUGAUCCUGGCUCAGGAUGAACGCUAGCUACAGGCUUAACACAUGCAAGUCGAACGGCAGCGGGGGAGGAGCUUGCUCCUCCCGCCGGCGAGUGGCGCACGGGUGA